ACACAGCGACCUUCCGUCUCGCCCAUCCCUUUGCUCCAUAUCGAUUCAUGAUUAUUGAGCAAUGCGCAUGUGCGGGACGGAUUGAGCGCUGA
rnacentral:pre_miRNA from 16 species